rnacentral:rRNA from 1 species
UACGAAGGGGACUAGCGUUGUUCGGAAUCACUGGGCGUAAAGCGCACGUAGGCGGAUGUGUCAGUCAGGGGUGAAAUCCCGGGGCUCAACCUCGGAACUGCCUUUGAUACAGCACGUCCCGAGUCCGGAAGAGGUGGGUGGAAUUCCUAGUGUAGAGGUGAAAUUCGUAGAUAUUAGGAAGAACACCGGUGGCGAAGGCGGCCCACUGGUCCGGUACUGACGCUGAGGUGCGAAAGCGUGGGGAGCAAACAGG